rnacentral:lncRNA from 1 species
AGGGAAGCGUGGGUCAUAGCAAUUGCUCUCCUUAUGCCACCUCUGUCCUGCAGGAGAUCAGGAGCUGAAAGGCCAGCAGCGUGUUUAUUUUGAGAUUGCACCUACUUUAAAUCAGUCUCAAACAUGCCCAUCUGAAGCUGUCCAAUGGGCUUGGUGAGGUCUUAACUGGAAAUUGCAUUGUUAUCGAUUCCCCAAGCCUCAGGAGAACAGAUGGAAGACCUCAGUCUCUGCCUUCCCAGCUGGAUGACUUUGCAUUCCUAGAACUGUUAGUCCACCUUCAGGAAAGCAUGUAUUUGACAUGUGUUCCCAGGGAGUCUUCCCUUUUCCAUCUGUACCACGCAAUCCAGAGAAUGCAGACUGAUUUGGUUUACCACUACCUCUUCU